rnacentral:rRNA from 1 species
AUUGAACGCUGGCGGCAUGCCUUACACAUGCAAGUCGAACGGCAGCACGGACUUCGGUCUGGUGGCGAGUGGCGAACGGGUGAGUAAAGUAUCGGAACGUACCUUUCAGUGGGGGAUAACGUAGCGAAAGUUACGCUAAUACCGCAUAUUCUGUGAGCAGGAAAGCAGGGGAUCGCAAGACCUUGCGCUGAUUGAGCGGCCGAUAUCAGAUUAGCUAGUUGGUGGGGUAAAAGCUCACCAAGGCGACGAUCUGUAGCGGGUCUGAGAGGAUGAUCCGCCACACUGGAACUGAGACACGGUCCAGACUCCGACGGGAGGCAGCAGUGGGGAAUUUUGGACAAUGGGGGCAACCCUGAUCCAGCCAUGCCGCGUGAGUGAAGAAGGCCUUCGGGUUGUAAAGCUCUUUCGGCCGGGAAGAAAUCGCAUGGGCUAAUAUCCUGUGUGGAUGACGGUACCGGAAUAAGAAGCACCGGCUAACUACGUGCCAGCCGCCGCGGUAACAC